GUGGCUGUAGCUCAAUGGCAGAGCACUUGACUGUGGCUCAAGGGGUUGCGGGUUCAAGCCCCGUCAGCCACC
rnacentral:tRNA from 1 species